rnacentral:lncRNA from 1 species
AGCAGAAGCUUUGAUCCACGUGUGUUUCAAUUCCCAUGAGAAACCCAUUUAUCACGUGGAAAGCGUGGAGAAUGUGCUGCAACAAGGGGAAGCCACGGUUGACUGUUUUGCACAUGGAAAAUGUGGAAAACGUGGCAGCUGGAUUGUAGAAAACAUGCUUCAAAUAAGCUACAUGGUUGGCUGCACAAUGCACUCCUACUUGCCUCCUUUGUGCUUCCUUGAUUGGNAAUCUUCCUAGGAUGUGUAGGCAUAGUUUCCUACUUUUAUUUGUAUCCUACAAAACAAUGUAAAUGGAUUAGAGAAUCUAUCUAAGACUUUAGAUAAGGAAAGUGUUUUGGAAAUCUUUUAUUGUACUUCCCUUUCUUUAGUCUUAGUUGUAGUUGAUGCUUCUUGGAUGG